UUAUGUAAUUAUUUUAUUUUCUUAUGUUCUUGUAGAUCAUUUUAUUGUACAGAUAAAAGGACAUUUAAUAAAGAGAAAUAUAGUAACAUUUUAAUUCGACAGAAGGUAUUUUAAUCAAUAAAUUUUUAACCAAAUCAAUGAACUGUUUCUGUGAUGCAUUAUCAAACUUUCUGCAUAGCAUAAGUACAUCAAUAUGUAUCAGAAAAUGUAAUAAAAUAGGGGUGAUUUUGAAAAACAUUUUUGGAAUCUGAGGUGGAUUGUUAAGUGAUAUUAGUUCCAUUUAUCGGACAAGAUAUUUUUAUGAAACAAUAUACUAUAACAGUAUCAAAUAUUUGAGUCAGGUCUAUACUUCUAUGGUCAUCCCACCUAUACAUGAUAAAAUGCAUAAAGGUAGACAAUUAUUGCUACUUAAAUGGAAAAAUCAAAUUGCUCUUGUUUGGAUCUUUCUCUUGCUUGGAUUCCAUUUGUUGAUACACAUGUCAGCGAAGAUUGCAGUGGAUACAUAGUCAUGUAAACCACAUGAAAGUCAUGUGAAGCUGCAUGAUAAAUGUUCCCUAGCAUAGCUGCUUUUCAAGGAAAUCAACAACACUGAAAAUGAUAAGUAUCUAUGUUCAAAUAUUAUAAAAGUUAUGGAGUAAAUACAUUACAGGAUUCAUAUACACACUUCAUCACUUGGUGUUUCAUCGCUGCCUUUCUCACAUUAAAACUUAACACUCUGGAAAAUGGUGGCACAACAGUUGAAACAAACAACUAUUAAAGCAAGCAACAUCUAUUUGAUUGAGAAAAGAUACAAGUUAACUCUAGAUGCACUAACUGUUCUACUGCUUCCUUACUACUAUCUAGUACUAUAAGAACAAUGUAUUCCUGACAGAUCACACAGUAGCAAAUCAAAAUGCUGACAAUAGUUGGUUAUGUUCAAUAGCCUGGACUUUGGAAGUUAUCCACAUAAACCGUAUACUCUUGUCUACUUGUCGUAAUUGUGUUAUACUUAUCCAGUUUAUUAUGAUGGUAACAAGACCACCAAGGAAUUAAUCAUACUAAAUCAUUGGGCUCAAGCUCUAGGCUAUAAAGAUAGUAUCCAGAAAAACUGAAAUUUAUGUCAGGACUUCGCUAAGAAUGAUUCUGAUAAAGCUGUUAAUAAUAUUGUGAAUUACAAAUCUGUCAAAGUAAUUAAGCUGAAUAUUGGACCAAUGCUGAUUCAUAUGUACAGCUUCGUUCUCUUUUAAAGUCUUUCAACUUAUUGUCAGUAGUCAGAUGCUUCAUUGAGGACAUAUAUCAAUGAUGGACCUCAUACUUCUUCCUACCAUGGUAUGUCCUGGAGUUCUGAAGGGUUCCUUUCAGUCACCUUCCCAGUCCUUGUGGAGUAUCUUAAUAGGAUUCUCAGUGCAUCUACAGGAGUCAAUGCAGAAGUCAAUUGGAGUCCUCCACACUGCAGACCCAGUUUUAGACUUCUUUCUCAAUUUAAAUAGUUGUUACUGUAAUCUUUAACUCUGUUGUCACCCAAUAAGUCAGUCAAAUUAUUAUUACUUUAAAAAUACCAAGAUGAAGAUGUGUAAUUCUGUAUAUAAUUGAAUUUUAUUUUAAUUCAUCAUUUUCAGUGAAAAAA
rnacentral:lncRNA from 1 species